rnacentral:other from 1 species
UUUACCCUGCCUUGCGCGUGAACGGCAACAAAGCCCUUGAACCGUACUAGCCAUCCCGGGACCCAAGCCGCUGCAAAGCUGUGGCCGACAGGCCUUCCUGCGGGAAGGAAGUCGAAAGCAGCGCGGCCGUCCCACAUGUUGCAAAACAUGUUCAAAGGGAGCGUUGCACACGGCAAAGGCGGGGUAUUU